rnacentral:ncRNA from 1 species
CAUAGCUCAAGUACUAGUCCAAGAGCAGCUUCAAGCUGGUCAUAUUGAACAUACUUUAAGUCCUUGGAACACUCCAAUAUUCAUAAUUAAGAAAAAAAUCUGGAAGCUGGAGACUUUUACAAGAUCUUAGAGCAAUUAAUAAAGCCAUGAAAUUAAUGGGCACUUUACAGCCUGGACUUCCUUCUCCCAUGGCUAUUCCAAUUGAUUACUGUCUGACUGUUAUAGAUUUAAAAGAUAGUUUUUCACUAUACCUCUACAUCUAGCUGAUUGUAAGCAUUUUGCAUCAC